UAUGUUUCGAAUACAAGCCAGCGCGUUCGCGAGUGAAGAAAAUGAACGCGAACGUUUGCGCUAGUCUCACGGAAUCCAAAAUCGAAAUUCCACAUUAGGAAAUCGAAUACGGAAAACGUGUGUAUGCGGCCAGCCUUUUGGCAUUUCAUUUUAC